rnacentral:tRNA from 1 species
AGACUUUUAGCUUAAAGGUAAAGUAUACAUAUGAUAAAUGUAAGAUUUUGGUUCAAUUCCAAAAUAGUCUAA